GAUCUCAUGUGUAUGAUUGA
rnacentral:siRNA from 1 species